rnacentral:rRNA from 1 species
UACGGAGGGGGCUAGCGUUGUUCGGAAUUACUGGGCGUAAAGCGCACGUAGGCGGCUUUUCAAGUCAGGUGUGAAAGCCCCGGGCUCAACCCGGGAACUGCACUUGAUACUGGAUGGCUAGAGUCCGGGAGAGGGUAGUGGAAUUCCCAGUGUAGAGGUGAAAUUCGUAGAUAUUGGGAAGAACACCAGUGGCGAAGGCGGCUACCUGGACCGGUACUGACGCUGAGGUGCGAAAGCGUGGGGAGCAAACAGG